AGUUCAUCUAUUGUGAUUUUGUCUAAAAUCUUUCGAUUGUCCCCUUCUUCCAGUGUCGGACUGGAUAAGGGAUCGAAUUUGUGUUUGUUUGUUUGUUUGUUUUUCGACGUAGUUUUCCACCGCCGCUUUGAAAGUACCAAAUAUGACCCCCUUCGUGGGAAUUAUGUAUCUUGCCAAGGGUAUUUGCAAAUGCAUUUGCUUUAUCCGCAUCGUUUGUUGUAAGUUGCCCAUUUUCUUUGAGUACAGGCUUUUCGGAUGUUUCUUUUGCUUUGCCGGUGCUAGUUAGCCUUUUAAACAUGCCCCAUUUUUCUUUCGUUUAGUAUGGAGGUAGCGGUUUCCAAACCUUUUUGUUUUUCUUUUUUGAUGGCUUCUUUGACCCGUUUUGUCAUUUAGUUAUACUCAGUACAUGAAUUUAUAAGAAGGACCUUCUUUCUUUUGAACAAGACGUCUUAAUUUUCUUUUCUCGUACUAUUAUUUUUGGGCAUGCGGUUUCUAAUGCAUCUACUAGUGUUUCGGUCACAUUCUCACAAGCUUCGUCUAUUCCAUUGGUGGUUGGUGUGACUGCGUUGCUAAUUAGAUUGUUAGUAAUUAGAUGGUUAAACAAGGUUUAUUUUUCUUGUGUUCCGUCGUAAGACAGUUGGUGCUCUUGCUAUUCGGUUAUUUCGUAUAAUUUUUACGUGUAAAGGUAGAUGGUCGCUUCCGACGUCUUUACCAGCAUAAUAGUCCGCUAUUUUCGAGUAAAGCUGAGGCGUGAAAAAAAAAAAAAAGCCAUAUCCAGAGUAUCAGUAUUGCCAUUAGUGGCCAUAUGUGUUGUUUCGCCCUCAUCGUUAUAUAGACAGAGUCAUAAAAACGAUUUUUUCUUAAAAUAUAGUUUUUGUACUUAUAUUUUAACAUCAAGUGGACUUCAGUUGUAUCAAAAAUGUACUGUUUAUAUUUUGACAGCGAACAUUUGUGAGCAGUUUUAGCCAAAACCUCUCACCCAAAAUGGGCCAAAUCUGUUCUAAUUUGCAUAACAAUAAGUUGCCCGUCGUGGUGCGAGCUGAAUACUCACUCUGCAGUUGGGCACAGCUGAGGGAAGACGCAACAUUACGUGUGGUGAAUUCACAAGUUUAAGCUUUUAUAAGACGUAGAAGCAAGUUUAUGGUAUGUAAGGUUUGAGCCCUUCAUAUGUUGUGUUUGUUGUGAUUGUGUUCGAUGUGUGUCGUGAAUGUUCGUUUGUGUACGUGGAGGUCACGGGUUUGAAGACCGCGCCCCAUACAUUUUGAUUUGCACCUGAAAGUCAGACGGAGUUGCAGGCUGGAAUAGUUGAAAUAGUUGUUCUAGUGCUCUUGCAGGUGAAUGUAACUAUAUCAAAAUAUUUGUAUGAUAAUAAAGCCAUUUCAACCCAGAGCUAUCGGCCUGUUACAGAUUACACUUGGGCAAUCUAUUUAUGCUUAAAGAUUGACAUGCUUUCAAAAAUCUUUUUGUAAGAAGCCCACGGAGAAACUGUGCAACAUGGGCCUGCAAACAUCAAGGUCUUUGGUUGACAUAUAUCAUGCUCAAUUUCAUGUAUCUCUUAUAUCAA